AUUCUUGUCAGCUGAUAAGGUCAUCAUAUAAUUCAAGAUGUCUAAAUUAAAUUAGAAAAACUACAAAGUGGGUAAAAUAUAAAGCACUUGCCAGAUGCGAUUAGCUGCCAAGUAUAUCAAUCGUUUGAAUCGCCGAACUUCAUUGCGCUAUCAUUAACGUAAACAAUUAAAGCUAAUUCAUAUUUACAUGUGAUUGUAAAAAUAUCACCGCUUAAAAUAGUCUCUUAUGUUAGAAGGUUCAACACAUGGAUCGUUCACUGUAAACUAAAUCUUUGUUUGGGCAACCGGCAUGGAAUCUAUUUACCUCCCGUUGCCAGGGAGAGAGAGAUUUGCUCAGCGGCUUUUAUCCCGUAUGAUUGGCACACAACACGCGUAUACACACGCACACGUGCACACACCCGUUUCGAAAGAUAACGGUAGGGGAGGAGGGGUCUUAAGAACCAGGGAGUCGAGGUUUUGUGUAAACUCACCAAGUCCACGGAGAG